rnacentral:rRNA from 1 species
ACGCUCGACACCUACGGGAGACAGCAGUGGGGAAUAUUGCACAAUGGGGGAAACCCUGAUGCAGCGACGCCGCGUGGAGGAAGAAGGUCUUCGGAUUGUAAACUCCUGUUGUUGGGAAAAGAGGAUGGUACCCAACAAGGAAGUGACGGCUAACUACGUACCAGCAGCCGCGGUAAUCUGAGGCGGGCUGGCAAGGC